rnacentral:lncRNA from 1 species
AUGUCCAGCGAUGUCCAAAGACCAUGCCUGGUUCACUCUGUCUGGCCUUUCAGCUCGGAAUAUCAUUUGCUAAGUGCUGCCAGCUGCUUCUCCACACCAGUAAAUUUAAGUUCUGGGAUCUCCCAGCUUCCAGUCAUAAUUCAGACCAUCCUUCUGUCCGAGCGACUCUCUGGGCAGAUGGGGAGCGGCUUGCUGAUCUCAUCUGUCCGUAAGUUAAACUUCUAUCAUUAACAAUCUUCUGGUCCCAAUGUCGUGUUAAUAUUCUACCUCGUUUCUACCUCGGAUGCAUCUUCAGACUCUGCCUCACGCUGUUGUUUUUUUCUGUCCCCUGCAGGAACAUUCCCGAUGGCUGAGAGGAUCCUGGCUGGUUGUUGUCCUCCCUUUUCUCAAGAAUUUUUUCCAUUUCAUCCUGAUUUAUGUUAGUCAUUAAUAAAUUUAUGGUCAAUUGACCUUCCUGUGACAUAUCUGUAAUUCCCAAUAGUAUGCCUUCUAAUACCGAAUUAACUGGGUGUUCAAAUUGUCCCGUUCCCAUUAAAGUCAUAUGUAUUUCAUUUUCUUGCCUGCUUAGUGUUUCUUUUAUUAAUGCCAUUGUUAUUGUUCUGGCCUCUAACCUGGAGCGUUCUGCACUACAGAAUUGGACUCUGCAAUCAGUCAUUAUUGUAUGCGCUACAUAAUUCCACUGUGGACAGCCAGAAGUUAUUCUCACUGUCGCUAUGUGUUGCGGUCCGAGCUGGGCUCUCAUACUUUCAAUAUCCUGUAAUGGCUGUUUACCUUAUUUGUUGAAAAUUGCCCCAGCUGUUCCAGAGCCACUUAUCAUUAGUUUAUUUCCAUUUAGUAUUACAAUUCUUUCGAUUAAACUGUCUCUAAUAAGCAGUCUUAUUCUGCCUAUUUGUAGCUCGUAUUAUUCUGGAA